rnacentral:tRNA from 1 species
GCCCCAGUGGCGGAACGGUAGACGCGACAGACUCAAAAUCUGUUGUCCGCAAGGGCGUGCUGGUUCGAAUCCGGCCUGGGGCACCA